rnacentral:rRNA from 1 species
GAUGAACGCUGGCGGCGUGCUUAACACAUGCAAGUCGAACGGGAAACCUUUUAUUGAAGCUUCGGCAGAUUUAGCUGGUUUCUAGUGGCGGACGGGUGAGUAACGCGUGGGUAACCUGCCUUAUACAGGGGGAUAACAGUCAGAAAUGGCUGCUAAUACCGCAUAAGCGCACAGAGCUGCAUGGCUCAGUGUGAAAAACUCCGGUGGUAUAAGAUGGACCCGCGUUGGAUUAGCUGGUUGGUGGGGUAACGGCCCACCAAGGCGACGAUCCAUAGCCGGCCUGAGAGGGUGAACGGCCACAUUGGGACUGAGACACGGCCCAGACUCCUACGGGAGGCAGCAGUGGGGAAUAUUGCACAAUGGGGGAAACCCUGAUGCAGCGACGCCGCGUGAAGGAAGAAGUAUCUCGGUAUGUAAACUUCUAUCAGCAGGGAAGAUAAUGACGGUACCUGACUAAGAAGCCCCGGCGAACUACGU